CAGGAGCCAUGGGGUAGACCACUAGGAGGCUUAAAUAAGGCUGGUAAGAUCUGCAUACCAGAGGAGCCUUAUAUAAGUAUGAAACGAUCAAACAGAAGCAUGGAACAGCCAGACCCAAGAACCAAAAGAAAGAAGGGGAAGAAGACUUCCUGUCAACCCAAGACCAGGCACAGCGGCAAGGUGCAGAAGGAAGCCAAGAAGACAAAAAGACCCCCUCAAAGGAAUGUGAGAAACAAACCGCCUCAGUCAUCCCCUUCCUGUUCGAGAAUGCCUCACAGAAGAGUAAGGCCAAUGAUAUUCAUCUGCUACCACAAGCUGAACAAGACACCAAGUGAAAAUGAGCAGAGCGGGAACGAGAAACACUGGAAACUCCAACCAUUCCAAAUAACAUCUUGUGUGGCCAGUAAAUGCAGAGCCUGGGCCAGAAACCUAGAAUCAGCUAUGGCAUAUUCUGAAGUGGCUACAGAGAACUGUUCAGACACCUAGGGGCCAGAUCUAGACCAACAGGGUACACAGACGUUGAUAAAAAUGAAAACAAGUUGUGAAAAGGA